CCCCACCGCCUGCCGCGAGGCCAAGGCCGAGCGGGGGUCAGGGCAGCUCACCUCUGCUUGGAGUAGAGCUCCCGCUCCAGCCGCCGCUUGCGGAUGAAAGCCAUGGAGCCGCGCGGCCGAGGGAUCUCUUAGGAGUAGUUCACAGAAUCUAAGGAGUUGAGAGAUCAGUUUGGAAAACAGUGAUAUCCUCAAGAGCCAUUUGUCUUAAUUGAUUUGUAAAAGCACUGAUUUGAAAGAAAGCUGCAACACUUGCAUGCAGCUUGUACAAAUGUCUAACAACAUUUAUGAAUAUGUACGUGUCCUAUAUCCAACCUGAAUUUUGUUUGCUCUGUUCCUUGCAACACUGUCAGUGGAAAUUGACCCUAUUUGUUAAGCUGUUCGCAUAUGUUUUAAUAAAUGUGUGUGUAAAUAUAUAUAUAUACAAUUAUUUAUAUGCGCAGAUGUGCAUAUCAUCUUUUCCUAAACUAAACAAUUGUGUUCACUUUCCUCAUAGACUGCACUCAUAAUAAAUGAUUUAUUCUAACAGCUUUA